rnacentral:piRNA from 1 species
UCUCAACCUGUUUAUCCUCUGUGUAGAGA